CCUACGGGAGGCUGCAGUGGGGAAUAUUGGACAAUGGGGGGAACCCUGAUCCAGCCAUGCCGCGUGUGUGAAGAAGGCCCUCGGGUUGUAAAGCACUUUCAGUGAGGAAGAACGCCUGGUGGUUAAUACCCAUCAGGAAAGACAUCACUCACAGAAGAAGCACCGGCUAACUCCGUGCCAGCAGCCGCGGUAAUACGGAGGGUGCGAGCGUUAAUCGGAAUUACUGGGCGUAAAGCGCGCGUAGGUGGCUUGAUAAGCCGGUUGUGAAAGCCCCGGGCUCAACCUGGGAACGGCAUCCGGAACUGUCAAGCUAGAGUGCAGGAGAGGAAGGUAGAAUUCCCUGUGUAGCGGUGAAAUGCGUAGAGAUCGGGAGGAAUACCAGUGGCGAAGGCGGCCUUCUGGACUGACACUGACACUGAGGUGCGAAAGCGUGGGUAGCAAACAGGAUUAGAUACCCCAGUAGUC
rnacentral:rRNA from 1 species